CUGCCCAUAGCAUAAUUGGAUAAUGCACCCGAUUCCGACUCGAGAGACUGUGAGUUCAAAUCUCGCUGGGCAGGCCA
rnacentral:tRNA from 1 species